UACGUAGGGGGCAAGCGUUGUCCGGAUUUAUUGGGCGUAAAGAGCGUGUAGGCGGUCAGGUAGGUCCGUUGUGAAAACUCGAGGCUCAACCUCGAGACGCCGAUGGAAACCAUCUGACUAGAGUCCGGAAGAGGAGAGUGGAAUUCCUGGUGUAGCGGUGAAAUGCGCUGAUAUCAGGAAGAACACCCGUGGCUAAGGCGGCUCUCUAGUACGGUACUGACGCUGAGACGCGAAAGCGUGGGGAGCGAACAGG
rnacentral:rRNA from 1 species